ACUAACAUACGGAUGCCACCGAUAAACAAGAGGCACAAGGAGCGUUUUUAUAUUAUUUAAACAUGAUUACGAUUACAAAGACAUCUCAGCUACGGUGUAUCCUAACAACAGUAACAUGUUUAACUGUGAAUUGGAUAAAGACAUCGUUUGGAUCAAAAAUAAGGUAGCUAGCUGUAUAGUAUAACUCGCUUUUAAUGCUACAAUAUUGUAUCUUGUUUGGUAACAAGUUAGCUAGAUUUGACACAUAUUUGACACCACUGUCAGCACAAAGCUAGACAGCAGCAUACCCAAAAUCUGCACAAAAACGGGCGAUAAAGGUUUCUCUAGCACUUACACUGGAGAGAGAAGACCCAAGGAAGAUCAUGUGUUUGAAGCUUUGGGAACAACAGAUGAGCUGUCAUUAGCAAUAGGAUUCAGUGUGUCUUACAAGAUGUGGGAUCCAACAUUGCCACACCAUGGUCAUCUGCAAGAGAAAGAUAAGUAAAUAUAUUUCUGCAAAUCCUUUUGUAGAAUCAUUACACACAGCUCACCCCAGCCGGUGGCCUUCUCAUUCUAUUCAUACUCUUAUCUCACUCUAUCCAACAGAGAAAAGCAAGUUCAGUUCCCAGCCAGUGGCAGACCUGGAAAGCUGUCUCGACGCAUUCACAGAGGAGCUGCCACCACUGACAAACUUUAUAUUACCUAUUGAGCGACUACCUGUUUACAGUGGCCAGGUACACAGCCAUGAAAGAAGGUAAUGAGGAGAAAAUCUACAAAAGACCUGAGUGACAUCCACACAUGAAUGAACAGACUGGAGAACUUUGAAACAACAUUUAUUCUGUUUAAGGCUUGAAUUCAUCAUUGGCAUAUGUGAAAGACAGAUUGAUGGUCUAAGCUUGAAUAUCUCGUAAUGGAAUUGCCCCUAAAUUUCAAAUAAAGACUAGAAUCCAAGUUCGACUUUGCCAGAGGCUAAACCUUACUACACGUUGCUUUUAAUGAAAUGUGGAAAAACUGCUACAACAAUAACCUGUGACACUAGGAUAAUACCGAAUAAAGAAUUAGAAUUUUGUAAUGAA